rnacentral:rRNA from 1 species
UACGUAGGGUGCAAGCGUUAAUCGGAAUUACUGGGCGUAAAGCGUGCGCAGGCGGUUGUGCAAGACAGAUGUGAAAUCCCCGGGCUCAACCUGGGAAUUGCAUUUGUGACUGCACGGCUAGAGUGUGUCAGAGGGGGGUAGAAUUCCGCGUGUAGCAGUGAAAUGCGUAGAUAUGCGGAGGAACACCGAUGGCGAAGGCAAUCCCCUGGGCCUGCACUGACGCUCAUGCACGAAAGCGUGGGGAGCAAACAGG